rnacentral:rRNA from 1 species
GAUGAACGCUGGCGGCGUGCCUAAUACAUGCAAGUCGAGCGAAUGGAUUGAGAGCUUGCUCUUAUGAAGUUAGCGGCGGACGGGUGAGUAACACGUGGGUAACCUGCCCAUAAGACUGGGAUAACUCCGGGAAACAGGGGCUAAUACCGGAUAACAUUUUGAACCGCAUGGUUCGAAAUUGAAAGGCGGCUUCGGCUGUCACUUAUGGAUGGACCCGCGUCGCAUUAGCUAGUUGGUGAGGUAACGGCUCACCAAGGCAACGAUGCGUAGCCGACCUGAGAGGGUGAUCGGCCACACUGGGACUGAGACACGGCCCAGACUCCUACGGGAGGCAGCAGUAGGGAAUCUUCCGCAAUGGACGAAAGUCUGACGGAGCAACGCCGCGUGAGUGAUGAAGGCUUUCGGGUCGUAAAACUCUGUUGUUAGGGAAGAACAAGUGCUAGUCGAAUAAGCUGGCACCUUGACGGUACCUAACCAGAAAGCCACGGCUAACUACGUGCCAGCCGCCGCCGUAA